rnacentral:rRNA from 1 species
AACGGCCGUACCAUGCUGAAUAUACCGGUUCUCGUUAGAUCACUGAAGUCAAGCAUCAUUGGGCGCGGUCAGUACUUGGGUGGGUGACCACCUGGGAACACUGCGUACCGUU